rnacentral:rRNA from 1 species
UUCAACUGUCAUGUGCGCGCCGUGUCGCAGCGCCGAGUGGUGCAUCUGGUGUGUGACUCGCUUGAGCCUGGUCAGUACUUGGAUGGGAGAACACAUGGGAAAAUAAGGUUGCUGUUGGAA